rnacentral:rRNA from 1 species
UAGCGUAUAUUAAAGUUGUUGCGGUUAAAAAGCUCGUAGUUGGAUUUCUGUUGAGGUCGGGCGGUGUGCACCUCGCGCAUUAUUUGCUUCGGUCUCGGCAUCCUCCUGGGGAACGUUUAGGACUUUAUUGGACUAGGCGAGAUUCAGGACUUUUACUUUGAGGAAAUUAGAGUGUUCACGGCAAGCAAGCGCGGGAAUACAUUAGCAUGGAAUAAUAAUAUAGGACCUUCGUUCUAUUUUGUUGGUUUCUAGAACUUAGGUAAUGAUUAAUAGGGACAAUUGGGGGCAUUCGUAUUAACGCGUCAGAGGUGGGAUUCUUGGAUUGCGUUACGACGAACUACUGCGAAAGCAUUUGCCAAAGAUGUUUUCAUUGAUCGAGAACAAAAGUAUGGGGAUCGAAGACGCUUAGAUACCGUCGUAGUCUAUACCAUAAACUAUGCCAACUAGAGAUCGGUGGGGUUAUCCUAUGUGGCUCCAUCGGCAUCUUAUGAGAAAUCAAAGUUUUUGGGUUCCGGGGGGAGUAUGGUCGCAAGGCUGAAACUUAAAGGAA